AGAGUUUGAUCAUGGCUCAGAUUGAACGCUGGCGGCAGGCCUAACACAUGCAAGUCGAGCGGAAACGAGUUAACUGAACCUUCGGGGGACGAUAACGGCGUCGAGCGGCGGACGGGUGAGUAAUGCCUAGGAAAUUGCCCUGAUGUGGGGGAUAACCAUUGGAAACGAUGGCUAAUACCGCAUGAUGCCUACGGGCCAAAGAGGGGGACCUUCGGGCCUCUCGCGUCAGGAUAUGCCUAGGUGGGAUUAGCUAGUUGGUGAGGUAAGGGCUCACCAAGGCGACGAUCCCUAGCUGGUCUGAGAGGAUGAUCAGCCACACUGGAACUGAGACACGGUCCAGACUCCUACGGGAGGCAGCAGUGGGGAAUAUUGCACAAUGGGCGCAAGCCUGAUGCAGCCAUGCCGCGUGUGUGAAGAAGGCCUUCGGGUUGUAAAGCACUUUCAGUCGUGAGGAAGGUAGUGUAGUUAAUAGCUGCAUUAUUUGACGUUAGCGACAGAAGAAGCACCGGCUAACUCCGUGCCAGCAGCCGCGGUAAUACGGAGGGUGCGAGCGUUAAUCGGAAUUACUGGGCGUAAAGCGCAUGCAGGUGGUUUGUUAAGUCAGAUGUGAAAGCCCGGGGCUCAACCUCGGAAUAGCAUUUGAAACUGGCAGACUAGAGUACUGUAGAGGGGGGUAGAAUUUCAGGUGUAGCGGUGAAAUGCGUAGAGAUCUGAAGGAAUACCGGUGGCGAAGGCGGCCCCCUGGACAGAUACUGACACUCAGAUGCGAAAGCGUGGGGAGCAAACAGGAUUAGAUACCCUGGUAGUCCACGCCGUAAACGAUGUCUACUUGGAGGUUGUGGCCUUGAGCCGUGGCUUUCGGAGCUAACGCGUUAAGUAGACCGCCUGGGGAGUACGGUCGCAAGAUUAAAACUCAAAUGAAUUGACGGGGGCCCGCACAAGCGGUGGAGCAUGUGGUUUAAUUCGAUGCAACGCGAAGAACCUUACCUACUCUUGACAUCCAGAGAACUUUCCAGAGAUGGAUUGGUGCCUUCGGGAACUCUGAGACAGGUGCUGCAUGGCUGUCGUCAGCUCGUGUUGUGAAAUGUUGGGUUAAGUCCCGCAACGAGCGCAACCCUUAUCCUUGUUUGCCAGCGAGUAAUGUCGGGAACUCCAGGGAGACUGCCGGUGAUAAACCGGAGGAAGGUGGGGACGACGUCAAGUCAUCAUGGCCCUUACGAGUAGGGCUACACACGUGCUACAAUGGCGCAUACAGAGGGCGGCCAACUUGCGAAAGUGAGCGAAUCCCAAAAAGUGCGUCGUAGUCCGGAUUGGAGUCUGCAACUCGACUCCAUGAAGUCGGAAUCGCUAGUAAUCGUGGAUCAGAAUGCCACGGUGAAUACGUUCCCGGGCCUUGUACACACCGCCCGUCACACCAUGGGAGUGGGCUGCAAAAGAAGUAGGUAGUUUAACCUUCGGGGGGACGCUUACC
rnacentral:rRNA from 1 species